CAAGAUUGGGUGGACCAGUAUUAAAUAGACCUACACUAGGUGACAGCCUUAGAAUGCUAACCCUACUCCGUUAGUUCAGAAGGUUGCUUUUCUCACCUCUGCCCUCCCAAACGGAAGCAUAGCGUCAGAGUGAUCCAAAGACUGGCCAAUGGCAUUUUCAAGCGAUAAAAUAGUAAGCGAUGUUAGUCUCUCAUCGGCCAUCAUUAAUCAAAGAUACGUUUUAAUGAGCCUGAGCUUUGAAAGUCUUAGAAAUUCAUCAAAUAUUACAUAUUAAGUAUGGCAAAAGAAGUAACAGUAUUUCUUUUGUAUUGUUGAGUAGAUAGGGGUUUGAUAGAUAUCUCUAGCAUCUCAUUAAAGAGGUCCUUUAUUAGUCACUACUUACACUCUUCAAGUUUUAAAACACAAGUACAGUUUCAUAAUUACACAAUAAAACAAGGUUCACAAUAUUGCCACUGGGCUCUUACUUCACUUCAUUUUGUUCCUAUAUCUCAUUGACUGACUGGUGACACCCUACCCCUUAUAUACCCAUGAGGGCAUGGCUGACAACAUUCUAGGAGAUUCCAGGAAAGUGUAGUUCUCAGAAAGUCUGGAAGGUUCCAUGAGAUUCUACAAAGGUCAAGAACAUUCUAGAAAGUUAGUGAAAAAUGAAUCCACAUGCGGAAUACCUGAAACAUUUUACUUCAAACAUUCUAUUUUCCCUUUUGUUGCUAACAACAAAAAUAGUACCCAGAGCCCAGCGUCCCCCAAGCCUGGCACCUCAGGUGGUUGCCUGCCCAUAAAUCCAGGCCUGAAUGUGCUCUUCUACAGUAAUUAUUAAGGGAAUGUUAUUUUCAAAAGGACACUCAAGGCUAUAAUGCUUUGCACUUACAUUAUGUAGAGCUUUUUAUCUCGCAGCAUUCUACAAACAUGAGCUAAUCCUCACCGAACCCUGUUGGAAGGCAAGUAAUAUAAAAAAAAGACAAAUGAAGUGAUUUUUCCCAAGGCCUGUUUGGAAUUAAUUUGCAGUCUUGAGAACAGAACUUGAGAGUUGUCCUAGGGUCCAUCUACACCGUAGAAAAAAACCCUGCAGCACCAAGUUUCAGAGCCUGACUCAGAUGACCUGGGCCAGCCAUGGCAUGCUGCGAAUCUGUUAUUGUAGUGUAGACAUACCCUUACUGUUUAUUUCACCUUUAUCUAUUAGUGGCCGUACUCUUGCUUCUACUGCAGUCAACAGUGGUUUUAUUUGGUGGAUACCCAGUUUCCCGGUGAGUUAAUAUUGCAUUUUCAGAGAGGAAAACAAUAAUAAGAUAUGGCUGUUAUAGUGCUUUUUAUUUGUAGAUCUCAAAGAGCUUUACAAAGUUUGCCAAACUUCACUACCCACAUUUUACAAGUGGAGAAACUGAAGUACAGAGAGCCUAUGGGUGUGUCUACACAGCAGCUAGACGCUGGUGGCCGCUGGCUUGUGCCAGCCAACUCAGACAUGCGGGGCUCAGGCUGCAGGGCUGUUGCACUGCUGUGUGGACUUCCAGGCUCUGGCGGGAGCCCACGCUCUGGGACCCUCCCAUGCUCCAGCCCAUGCUCCAGCCUGACCCUGGAAGUCUACACAGCAAUGAAACAGCCCCAGGAGCCCGAUCCCCACAAGCCCGAGUUGGCUGGCACAGGUCACCCACAGGUGUCUAGUUACUGUGUAGACAAACCCUAAGUGGCUUGCCUGAGGUCAUGUAACAUACAGUGGAAGUUAGAAAUAGAACCCAGGUUUCCUGACUCCCAGAUGUAUGCUACCCACAGUCCACCGGGUCAUUCUGCCUGUACUGCCACACCAUAUUACAGAGCUGUGGAGAGGGAACCAAAAAAAAAACUUGGCUGAGGGGAGCAGGAGGAUGGGGAGAAGUCUGGAGGGACUGGCUCUCUGUGCAGAUCCCUGAGGUCUGUAGGGAAGAAAGUGAAUUUCCAUAUAGAUCCUUGUGCUCCGUGUGGUUACAAAUGCCUCCUGUGCAUAGCCACAAACACCUUCCCAGUGAGUGGAGAAUAUGAUAGCAACUCUGUACUUCAUACACAGGGCAAGAUCCUCCACUGCCCUGCACUUUAUGGUGUUAUUCACAUCUAUGCAAAGUGGGGGCAAAAUUCUACCAUACCAGAAUCACAGGCAUAAAUGACAACACAAUGUGCGAGGCAGUAGCAUUUCAGGCCCACCAAGUUUUUGAAAUACUUUUUCCUUUCCUGCAAACUUUCUGCAUUAGCUCCAGUUUCCUUAAUGAAGUAGUUAGUCAAGGCUGGACUCACAUUUUUCCUUCAUACUGUAUUUGAUUUACAUCGGUUCAAGGAAAUGGUAAUGUGCAACAGUGACUUUGGAAUUUAAACAGCAGCCCACAAGGGAUUUCCAAGCUGCAGGCCAACUUCCAAAUAUGGGAGCAUAUAAGCAGCUGCAGCAGUAGUAGUGCAGAAAGCCAUCCUUAGUAUGACAAGAAGCAAAAUUCAGAGCUUGCCAAUACUUGGAAUAUAUGGGCCUCUUCAAACUGGCUCAGAAAGGUGACUGCUGUAUUACUUGCAUUAGUCAAAAUAAGGGAUGAAAUUAAUAUGCUUCUGCACCUGGAAAGGCAAAUACCAUGGAGGUUUAAUCAUACGGGGAUAAGCACUAGAGCGGCAAAAUCAACAGUUCCCCAUUAUCAUCCCAGUCUUAGUGUGUUAAUGCUGCAUGUACCCCAAAAGUUCAGAUGCUUGUGCAGGCUUCAACCAAGGUAUCCCCAUCUCUUGAGUCUGCCAACUUGCCUUGAGGUCUUAAGAGUUUCUCUUCUCACAUGAGAAAACUGGUGGUAUUUACUACCAUCCCUGGCCAGAAAUUCAUUCAGAACAGACUUUCUGAUUCAGGCCCAUGAGCUUUAGGCCCCAGUCUUCCAAACACUUGUUCAAGGGCUUCACAGAAUCAGGCCCAUAAGGCACAGCACCGUCAGGGUCACUGUUUUAGAAAAAUAGUAAGGAAAGUGGAGGAGUAAUAGCAGGAAAGGGUUCUAAGAAGGCAUGGGCUGAUUAACAUGUAUUUAGCUAUUUCAGAUAUGCCAGCUUUCUGGCCUUGAGAAGCAGUGAUAGCUGUGUGUCAGGCAUGUGCAGCAGAGUAGUGCCAUGCAGUCUAGCAGAGUGCAGAGCCAGACAAGGCAAGCCAGCUCUGAGAGCAAAGGGCUGCAGAGUGGUGGCUGUUUCUAAUGUGCCACUAUUGUAUUGUUUGCGAAAACAACCAACCAGUUCUGGCCCCCUUGCUGACUGCCUCUCAGCAGGGGUUAAACCCUUUAACUGGGCUGAGAGGCUAAACCUAACCCACAGAAAGUACUGGCAGCUGUUGCCAAUUAGGCUGCUGGGAGGUGGAAUUAACAACUUUCCUCGCUCCUACCCCCGCAAACUGAGAAGCCAUAAAAAAAGCAAGCCUGGAAUGGAUGCCCUUUUGAAGAAGAAACAGCUUUUGCUUCCCUUCUCCGAGUGAGAGGGAAUAGGUAGGAGUUUUCUGGAGUGAGCAGCAAGCCCAGAGCCCCUCAGAAAAGAGUUGUGAAACUUAUUGAUUAAAGGAACUGUAGUAGCUGAUUGAUGGGCAGCGACUGAUCCAGCGGGGGUCGAUUUAUCGCAUCUAGUCUUGACACGAUAGAUCAAUCCAGCUGGAUGCUCUCCCAUCGACUCCAGUACUCCACCAGGGCGUGAGGUGCAGGCGGCGUCAACGGGAGAGCGCAGUGAAGACACCACAUUUCAGUAAUGGUUGCCUUUUGGAUUUGAGACACUUAGUUGUUGAGGCCAUUGCUAUGGAAUUGGGCCUUGCAGUCUUUCUGGACUUGGAGUUGGAAAGGGUAUCCUAGGCAGGGCAUGCAAGGUUGCUCGUGCUGUCUACUCAUGAGAUUUGGACCUCAGUGGAAAAAAUAUUCCAGUGGUUAUAGCUGUCUGCUGUGUCCUGCAAAAUAUCCGUGACGCAAAGGAGGAAAAGUUUUCACUGGGUUGGAGGGCAAAGGUGGAGUGGCUGCCUGCUGAUUUUUGAGCAGCCAGAUAUGAGGGCUAUAAGGAGAGCUCAAUGCGGAGCUAUUCAGCUUUGAAAGAUCAUUUUACUAGUGAACCAGAGUAGAGUGUGUUACUGUAGUGUGCUAUAACUGGCCUUGCACUUUUGCAGCCCUGUAUGAACCCUUGGAUGCUGUGUUUGUUGUAAUGUAACAUUGCCAAUGCACCUAUUAAUACUGUCUGUGAAUGAUGUCUGCACCACCCAGCAUAUGUUGUGAUCUAAUAAAGAUGAAUUACAUUUCCAAAAACAUUUAUUCCAUAACACUGCAAAUAGUAAAACAUUUAUAACUUAAUAAAUUAAGG